CAUCUUUUGUGUAAUGUUCCCAUGCAUAUAACUUAUUGAAAUCUGUCAUUGUUAAAGAUGGGAUUUUUAGGUGCAUUAGGUUUCCUUUUAUUUUUUGUAACUGUAAUUCAGAUAUCAUAUUUUCCAACAAGUGGAUUCACAAUUACGGAGAUAAGUUCUCCAUCCGCAACCGAGCUUCAGGUGAAAUGGACGCCAGCCACCGGUGUUAAUUAUUUUCUGGAUUUAAGGGUAGUAAACAGCACUAAUAUAGCACCAAUUGUGCUCUUCUUACCCGAAUCACCUACAGUAAGACUGGUCGGUGGCCUCAGACCUGCAACUGUUUACAAUGUAACAGUUAAAUCCUCGAUAUUGUUCUACGUGGUGGGGUCUGCCUGGAAAUUAGCGA